UGUGUUUAAUACAGGCACCCCUGGACCAAUUCCUCUGCCGCCGGCAUUUGCGCACCCGCCUCGUCCCGGUACCGGCCAAGUUCCAGGACCAGGGCGCUAUGGCCCGGACAACCUGACUAAGGACCAACUCCAGCGAUUGGUCCUUAUACUGAGGGCGGUGGUCCAACAAAUGUUUGUUUAUAUUUUACGUUGUUUAUAAAAAAAAUAUUUUUUUAUUU